CGGGCUGCCUGCGGAGCCCAGGCGCUUGGCUUCAGAGGAUGGUGCCCAGCGGCCCCUCCGAUGCCCGCCAGGGACCCCUCCGACGCCCCCGAGCGCCUGCCGGGCUGCAACACCGGAGGAAGCAGGAUGAGCGGGCGCAGAGAGAGGCAGGGAAAGAGGCAGCCGGUGACCACCGCACCCGCGGCCCAGAGCGUCUGCGUGAUCCGGGCCCCAGUUUCUCCCCAGGGUGGCUUUUGUUGUUACUCGCGAUCUGGAAAAUCGGGCCCACAGUGGGUGCCAGGGUGGCUGCCUCCGCCUCCUGCUGAAGCGAGGACUCAGGCACGAGGAGAAGGCCCUCGCAAGGCUGGUUCUCUCCUGAGUCCGUCCUCAUUUGGGGCGGCUGAGAGGGAAGGACGAAGUUAUUAAAGCCUUGCUCCCUGGGCCUGUCACUCAGGCACCUCGUCGCUGGCGGCCUCUCCGGCUGGGUCUUCACAGCCGCCUCUGCAGCCCUGGGAUUCGCUGGUGCUCAGAGGCCUGGCACCCCCACGGCCUGGGUGACCCUUUCUCAGCCCUUGACAGGUCACAAGGUGGUUGAAGAAGGGAGAAGAGGAAAGCGUAAAAAGCAGAAGACAAAAGAAGGGAGAAGGGGGCGUGAAGACAGAGCUGAGAGAGAUUUGAAGAUGCUGGCAUUGAAGAGUAGAGGGGUGUGCCCACAAGCCAAGGAAUGCCAACAGCCACCAGCAGCCAGAAGAGGAGUGACUUUCAAGGACAUGAAGAAGCUGAGGACCUUUUCAAGUGUGGGCAUCACCAUUUCUCUUGGUGCCAGGUCUCAGCUGCCCAUCCAGCCGCUACCUCUGGAAACGCUCCUGUCUGCCCCGGGCCCUCCCCAUGGAGUCUGACCCCAGCACAGACCUCCAGGGAUUCCCGAAGCAGUCCUGGAUGCCACAGACCCCACUGCAGUCCCGAACACCCCUAGCUGCUUCAUCCACCUGUUUGACAACUACCCUGCCCUAAGUAUGCCAACAUAAGCCAUCCUCUGACUUUAUAAAGACUUAGGAACUGCACAGUCCAUGAGACUGUCCAUGCC
rnacentral:lncRNA from 1 species